CCUACGGGAGGCAGCAGUAGGGAAUCUUUCACAAUGGGCGAAAGCCUGAUGGAGCAACGCCGCUUGCAGGAUGAAGGCCUUCGGGUUGUAAACUGCUUUUAUAAGCGAGAAAUAUGAUGGUAACUUAUGAAUAAGGAUCGGCUAACUACGUGCCAGCAGCCGCGGUCAUACGUAGGAUCCGAGCAUUAUCCGGAGUGACUGGGUGUAAAGAGUUGCGUAGGUGGCAUAAUAAGUAGCUAGUGAAAUCUGGUGGCUCAACCAUUCAGACUAUUAGCUAAACUGUUAAGCUCGAGACCGUUAGGGGUAACUGGAAUUUCUAGUGUAGGAGUGAAAUCCGUAGAUAUUAGAAGGAACACCAAUAGCGUAGGCAGGUUGCUGGGACGGUUCUGACACUAAGGCACGAAAGCGUAGGGAGCAAACGGGAUUAGAUACCCCUGUAGUC
rnacentral:rRNA from 1 species